rnacentral:rRNA from 1 species
UACGUAGGGGGCAAGCGUUGUUCGGAAUUACUGGGCGUAAAGGGCGCGUAGGCGGCCAACUAAGUCAUACGUGAAAUCCCUCAGCUUAACUGGGGAACUGCGUCCGAUACUGGAUGGCUCGAGUUUGGGAGAGGGAUGCGGAAUUCCAGGUGUAGCGGUGAAAUGCGUAGAUAUCUGGAGGAACACCGGUGGCGAAGGCGGCAUCCUGGACCAACACUGACACUGAGGAGCGAAAGCCAGGGGAGCAAACGGG